rnacentral:rRNA from 1 species
UACCUGCAGCUCGAGUGGUAACCGUUAUUAUUGGGCCUAAAGCGUCCGUAGCCGGUUUGGUAAAUAUCUGGGUAAAUCGUGAGGCUUAACUUCACGAAUUUCGGAUAGACUGCCAGACUUGGGAUCGGGGGAGGUCAGAGGUACUCCAGGGGUAGCGGUGAAAUGUUGUAAUCCUUGGAGGACCACCGGUAGCGAAGGCGUCUGACUAGAACGAGUCCGACGGUGAGGGACGAAGCCCUGGGGCGCAAACCGGAUUAGAUACCCGGGUAGUCCAGGGUGUAAACGAUGUGGGCUUUGUAUUGGAGGUCCCACGUGGGCGUCCAGUGCAGAAGAGAAGUUGUUAAGCCCACCGCCUGGGAAGUACGGUCGCAAGACUGAAACUUAAAGGAAUUGGCGGGGAGCACAGCAACGGGUGGAGCGUGCGGUUU